rnacentral:rRNA from 1 species
GUAGUUUGAUAUUGAGUGUCUGUACCGCAUGUACAGGAUAGGUAGGAGCCGUAGAAAUCGGAACGCUAGUUUCGAUGGAGGCGCUGGUGGGAUACUACCCCUGCGUUAUGGCCACUCUAACCCGCACCACUAAUCGUGGUGGGAGACAGUGUCAGAUGGGCAGUUUGACUGGGGCGGUCGCCUCCUAAAAGGUAACGGAGGCGCCCAAAGGUUCCCUCAGAAUGGUUGGAAAUCAUUCGAAGAGUGUAAAGGCAGAAGGGAGCUUGACUGCGAGACCAACAAGUCGAGCAGGGACGAAAGU